rnacentral:rRNA from 1 species
UGCCUUCAGAUUAAAAAUUGAAGGUCAAUCUGCCCAGUGAACUAAAUAAUAAUUACAAAAUUUCAACGGCCGCGGUAUUCCUGACCGUGCUAAGGUAGCACAAUCAUGAGCCUCUUAAUUAGGGGAUAGUAUGAAUGAAUCAACAAGAUAUAUGCUGUCUCUUUUUUGCAUAUUGAAAUUUAGCUCUAGGUGAAAACUCCUAGAUUACUAAUAAAGACAGAAAGACCCUAUAAACUUCUACCAUAAUAUUUUAUAAAUACAAAGGUAUUUAAUUGGGGCGAUUCUAAGUAAAAAACACUUAAUACAUCCAGAGAAAUAUCUCAUCAAAUCUAUCUAAUAGCACACAAGUAAGCUACUAUAGGGAUAACAGGCUAAUACUUCUCAAGAGCACAUAUCAACAGAAGUGCUUAGCACCUCGAUGUUGGCUUAAGGAUCCCAAUUUACGCAAAAGUAAAAAAGGGGGGUUUGUUCAACCUUUAAUUCCUU